UUGACCUCAAAUCGGGUGAGACUACCCGCUGAACUUAAGCAUAUCAAUAAGCGGAGGAAAAGAAACUAACAAGGGAUU
rnacentral:rRNA from 1 species